ACUUAUUAGACUUCUUUUUAGAAAAAGGAAAAAAGGCGAAACAUCUCUGUUCCUCCACUCCCAACUGUCCCUUGGAAGAAGAGGGAAAGCAAAGGAGAUCUAGUUUUCAGCGACCAAGAUCCACAAAGGGCUCAUCACCUGGAGGAGCAGGUCAAUAGCUUCCCAUCCAGAAUUGCAAAAACCACCAAGUACAUGUCAAAAGCAGACCGCACUGACAUGCUGACCCUGCAGUCUAUGGGGUGGAACAACAGAAAACUGGCAAACAUGGGCUAUAUUUUGGCAAAAAGAUACAGAAAGACACGAAAGGAUCUUCAGGAUGAGAAGGACAGCAAUGGGCUGAAGGUAAUAUAGUUACUGUGUAACUAAGUUGUGAUGAACGCUGUCAAUUGAAAAGAUUUGUGCACAGUUGCCAAUGAAUAUUGCAGAGGAAAUAGGGCUGAUUGUUGGCAUCAACCAUCAGACACAGCGUCUCUACCAUCAGACAGGUAAUAUUAACUUUCAUUGCAUAUUUGAUUACUACAUGCAUCGGUUAUAGAUUCUAGCUGUUGGUGAUGUCUACAACUUUGUUGUUUUAUUGAACAGCAACAACAUUCGACACAAAAUGUGACUAAAUAUUUGGAAGGAGAAGAAGACAUUGACUUUGGCGGUUGGGGAUUACAAUGAUCUGUGUACAGAUCCAUCUCUGAGAAUAGGAUCAAUCAGUGACCUUCUCCAGGAUGAGACACGUGCCUUUCCUUGGCAAGUUAUUUCAUUUGAAUCUGUCGAUUUUCUGACAAAGAGGAAGGUAUUUGGCAGUGAGGUGUCUCCAGGAGGAAGAGCUGAUCUAGUGCUGUGAAAUGCAGCAACACUGGAGGCCUUUGGGAAAUCAAGCAGUGACGUUGGAAGAACUAAUAAAGGAUGACAUCACUUCUAACUAAAAGCUUAAUUUUAUUUUUUAUUUUGCGUUUUCUUGAUUACCA